CCUCGCUUUUUCUGCACCGUAAGGUGGUGCAGGAACAAGGACUGGGCAAGACCGGUGCCAGCCGCCGCGGUAAUACCGGCAGUCCAAGUGAUGGCCGAUAUUAUUGGGCUAAAGCGUCCGUAGCUGCUGUGUAAGUCCAUUGGGAAAUCGACCAGCUCAACUGGUCGCCGUCCGGUGGAAACUGCACAGCUUGGGGCCGAGAGACUCGACGGGUACGUCCGGGGUAGGAGUGAAAUCCUGUAAUCCUGGACGGACCACCAAUGGCGAAAGCACGUCGAGAGACCGGACCCGACGGUGAGGGACGAAAGCCAGGGUCUCGAACCGGAUUAGAUACCCGGGUAGUCCUGGCUGUAAACAAUGCUCGCUAGGUAUGUCACGCGCCAUGAGCACGUGAUGUGCCGUAGUGAAGACGAUAAGCGAGCCGCCUGGGAAGUACGUCCGCAAGGAUGAAACUUAAAGGAAUUGGCGGGGGAGCACCACAACCGGAGGAGCCUGCGGUUUAAUUGGACUCAACGCCGGACAUCUCACCGGUCCCGACAGUAGUAAUGACGGUCAGGUUGACGACUUUACCCGACGCUACUGAGAGGAGGUGCAUGGCCGCCGUCAGCUCGUACCGUGAGGCGUCCUGUUAAGUCAGGCAACGAGCGAGACCCGCAUCCGUAGUUGCCAGCAAUACCCCUGAGGUAGUUGGGUACACUACGGAGACUGCCGCUGCUAAAGCGGAGGAAGGAACGGGCAACGGUAGGUCAGUAUGCCCCGAAUGGACCGGGCAACACGCGGGCUACAAUGGCUCUGACAAAGGGAUGCGACGCCGAGAGGCGGAGCUAAUCUCGAAACGGAGUCGUAGUUCGGAUUGCGGGCUGAAACUCGCCCGCAUGAAGCUGGAUUCGGUAGUAAUCGCGUGUCAGAAGCGCGCGGUGAAUUCGUCCCUGCUCCUUGCACACACCGCCCGUCAAAGCACCCGAGUGAGGUCCGGAUGAGGCCAGCAUGCGCUGGUCGAAUC
rnacentral:rRNA from 1 species